rnacentral:lncRNA from 1 species
AUGUGUAUCUGCAGAACCGGAGAGUCACCCGUUCAGACGUUCAAGCUGUCUUUUUGCAAAAGCCGGCCUGACGGCUGCGGUGUUAAACACUCUCACAUUUUCCUUUUUCCCAUUUUUCUUGCUUCGUUUAACGGGAUGGCUCCUGCUGGCAUUUCCUGGCGUGCAGACAGUGCCGGGCGGCCGGGACGUCGCGGCUGCMGCGCGGAAGGAGCCAAAGUGGGCGGCGGGGAUGCCGAAAGGGGGUUGUCCAGGAAAUGCCAGCCCCAGGUACCCCUGGAGUCGGGUGGAUGGGGAGACGCGGAUCCGAGCUUGCCGGCGUGGUUGCGUCUCCGGCUUGCAGCGGCGUCUGAGCUGUUUUGUGAAAGUCUGAAGGCUCCUUGCAGUAACCGAGUUGCAUCUCGGAGCAAGUAGCGUGCUGCUUCGGUGCACUGGACCGUCCUGGAGAAGGGACCACCGCACCCCCGUCGCCCCUCCCAAGGCACGGAGGAACGGCUCCGCCGGGAGCGGGGCCGGCUCGGCAGGGCGCCGGCGUGCGGCUCCUUUGGGAUUGUCCCAAACGGAGCGGGGAUGAGUCGCAGUGACUCAUACCUCCAUACCGCUUUCGGCUUUGAUCUUAAUCCUGACCAUAUUUUGGGUCAAACUGCAUUUCCCCUCUCCGGAGCUCGUGAAUCCGGUGAUGACUUGCCCUCCUCCAAGCUGGCACCRAAACCGUCACGUUGCUUUCCUUUAAGACAGAAAAAAUGCGUUUUGGCCUCGAUGUAAAGAAUUCACAUCAGGUUUUUUUAACUUAGCAUCUAGCCCCGUCCAGCAAACUGCCAAGCUCUGCGGCCGGGGCUGCAUGACGCUCCCGGACGCAUCCAGCACCCUCUGCCAGCCGGGCACCCCCGCUUUACUGCACGGAGCAGAAAGCGGGCCCAAAACGCUKUUCUUUUCUUUUUUCUUCCCUCUUUGCAAACAAAUUUGUGCCCAGACUUACUUUAACUGUCACAUAUUUUCCCCUCCAAUACGUCUGACAGCGUAUUAAUCACGCUUUCUUCUGAUCUGUGAUUUUUACGGACUGCCAACUGCACAGAGCCAGUUUGGCACCUUCUCCAGCAAAUCGAGGUUUCGAUGGCUUUACCAUUCGUAUUUAGUGCUUAAGYGUGUGUGUCGUUUUGGUAGAGAAACCAGAAUUCUUGCUUGUAUUCCACAGCAGUCGCCUCCGAGCAGAGAGUAAUUGCCGUAGACGGGCAGGGUGGCAAAAAUGCGCAGCUGUGACUAGCGUUUCAUGGAGCAAGGGAUAAAAUAAUAUUAGUAAUAAGUUGUUCAGAAUAGUUAUGUAACGGGCAUUUCCUGCAAUGGAAAAUUUCCCGGGGGAAAGAUGGUGUUUUUAUUGGUGAGGUAUUUAAUUUCUUUUCCGUAAAUUAAAAGU